CGUGCCUAAUACAUGCAAGUCGAGCGGAAGAAGGGAGCUUGCUCCCGGAUGUUAGCGGCGGACGGGUGAGUAACACGUGGGUAACCUGCCUGUAAGACUGGGAUAACUCCGGGAAACCGGAGCUAAUACCGGAUAGUUCCUUGAACCGCAUGGUUCAAGGAUGAAAGACGGUUUCGGCUGUCACUUACAGAUGGACCCGCGGCGCAUUAGCUAGUUGGUGGGGUAAUGGCUCACCAAGGCGACGAUGCGUAGCCGACCUGAGAGGGUGAUCGGCCACACUGGGACUGAGACACGGCCCAGACUCCUACGGGAGGCAGCAGUAGGGAAUCUUCCGCAAUGGACGAAGGGCUGACGGAGCAACGCCGCGUGAGUGAUGAAGGUUUUCGGAUCGUAAAGCUCUGUUGUUAGGGAAGAACAAGUGCGAGACCCACCCCCCCGCACCUUGACGGUACCUAACCAGAAAGCCACGGCUAACUACGUGCCAGCAGCCGCGGUAAU
rnacentral:rRNA from 1 species